GCAAAGGUAGCAUAGUCAUUAGUUCUUUAAUUGUGAUCUGGUAUGAAUGGCUUGACGAGGCAUGGGCUGUCUUAAUUUUGAAUUGUUUAUUGAAUUUGGUCUUUGAGUUAAAAUUCUUAGAUGUUUUUAUGGGACGAGAAGACCCUAUAGAGUUUAACAUUUGCUAUGGUUCUCUUUCUGUUUGUGAGGGUUCACUGGGCCAUUUAAUAUGUUUUGUUGGGGUGAUGGGAGGGAUUAAUUUAACCCCUCCUUUUGUUAUUAUAUUUAUUUAUAUUUACUUGAUCCAUUUAUUUUGAUUGUAAGAUUAAAUUACCUUAGGGAUAACAGCGUUAUCUUCCUUGAGAGUUCUUAUCGGCAGGGGGGUUUGCG
rnacentral:rRNA from 1 species